GCUGGCGGCAGGCUUAACACAUGCAAGUCGAGCGGGCGUAGCAAUACGUCAGCGGCAGACGGGUGAGUAACGCGUGGGAACGUACCUUUUGGUUCGGAACAACACAGGGAAACUUGUGCUAAUACCGGAUAAGCCCUUACGGGGAAAGAUUUAUCGCCGAAAGAUCGGCCCGCGUCUGAUUAGCUAGUUGGUGAGGUAAUGGCUCACCAAGGCGACGAUCAGUAGCUGGUCUGAGAGGAUGAUCAGCCACAUUGGGACUGAGACACGGCCCAAACUCCUACGGGAGGCAGCAGUGGGGAAUAUUGGACAAUGGGCGCAAGCCUGAUCCAGCCAUGCCGCGUGAGUGAUGAAGGCCCUAGGGUUGUAAAGCUCUUUUGUGCGGGAAGAUAAUGACGGUACCGCAAGAAUAAGCCCCGGCUAACUUCGUGCCAGCAGCCGCGGUAAUACGAAGGGGGCUAGCGUUGCUCGGAAUCACUGGGCGUAAAGGGUGCGUAGGCGGGUCUUUAAGUCAGGGGUGAAAUCCUGGAGCUCAACUCCAGAACUGCCUUUGAUACU
rnacentral:rRNA from 1 species